ACUCAGAGGACUGUGCAAGGUGCCCUAUUCUGUCAUGUGGUACAUAUUUAAUGCUUGAAAGAACAAGGAAGGGACACGUGCAGGAGAGAGAGAUAGUUGGACCAACACAGAGCUAGCAAUAGCUCUAGUAAAAGACUCGGGAUGGGGAGUAUUAUAGUAUUGCAUAUCUAAUAUACAUACAUUGGUUGUGGGGGCAUACAUAAUCUUAUCUUUGCCAAGCCAACCUUGAAAUCCUUGGCUUUGCCUUGCAUCAGUAGCCCUUUUGUAUCUUUCCUUUGUGUGCUUUUUUAAUUUUAUUCUUUCCUGGGGUUAUGAGCUAUAGGUGCAUCUAGACCUGAUACAAGCACUGAGGCAGGCAGAAAAGCAGAACGGAGCAAACGCGCAGCAAGCACGACAGAUGUCUGUAGUCAUUUAUAUUGCCAGCACGUGGGUGCCGUUUGCUGUUUCCCCUUACUUCUCUUGUGCUCUCCUGGUGAGGAAACAGGAGGCACUUUGCAGCCGACAAUGAAAUCUUGGCAGCUAAUUGCAGUCGUGGGAGAUGCCCUUCAGGAUACUAAAGCAGAGUGCAGUUCCUGUGUAGAAACAGAAGACAGAAAAAUCUCCCUCCAGUGAAAGGCAUUGCGGCUCACCAUUUCUGCCUUUCCAUUUCUCAGGUAGGUAGAGAGGCCUUUGAAGUCUGUUAUCUGGAACACCACACCAUGACUCUUCUUUUUACUGUCUGACCCUUCUCCAGUGCCAGGGCAGUUAUUGUUUGUAUUUCCCUUCUAUUGGAUACAUAAUGUGUAUUUCUGAUGUUUCUACCAUAUUUUGUUUUAUCUGAGUGCUCCUUAGUAUCUACCAGCUCUCUCCUCUCUCUCAGGCUUCCCUAAUUGUCUCUGGCAGAAGUCUGGUUGUGUUUUGAUUCCAUGAUCCUUUUUUAUAAAAGAUCUCUCCUCUCCCUAAAUGUUCCCCAGUUUCCAACAAGUUAACCCCCCAUCCUCUACACAUUGUCAUUCAUAUAUUAGAAUCUUAAUUUCCUUCUGUGAAGUUGGCCAUUAUGUCUGGAACAAGGGAAAACUUCAGACAAAACUACUGAUGAGGCCUUAGAAUUAAACUUUCUUUUAUAAACUAAAUUUAGCUUCCAGGUGCAUUCACCUGUAGUUUCCAGAAUCAUUGGUACUUGCAGAAAAACUAAAACCAAAUAUAUUUGUAUCUGCAUCUCUAUGUCCACAAUUCCUCCCAAGCUCAGUCCAAAAUAUUCAUCUUGAGAACCAACACCUUGUACAGCUAUUAACUAAGGUCAAGUGGAUAUGGAUUCCUGUAUUUAAACUAGCUCCUUUGGAGCAAUUAUGUUUGCAUUGAGAAUAUA
rnacentral:lncRNA from 1 species